rnacentral:tRNA from 1 species
GCCCGGAUGGCGGAAUUGGCAGACGCGCCAGGUUGAGGGCCUGGUGGGGUAACACCCGUGCUGGUUCGAAUCCAGUUCCGGGCA